UGACGACAGUCGUUACAGUCGUUAGGACUACCUGUGGCCAAGACUGAAGAAGUGCGCUGAGGUGUUUAGCAACUCUGUUUGAAGACACUACCAGCCAUUUCUUCCUUCUCUUUUCAUGUGGACACUCUGACCUACAGAGUUUUCAAUUAGCAACUUAUACGUACACAGAACUGCAGGAAAGUGAGCUGUUGUUUCUGAGAGCCACAUCAGUUAGCCGCAGCUAAAUCUGGAGUGCACUCCUAUUCGAGUAUUUACGGUAAAUGCUCCCACACGGAGCUGCCCGUUGCUCUGCUGAUUUCAGCUGCUGUUUCAACAAAAACGCCAUUCAGGGUGAAAAUUCAAUCGUGGUGUUGUGUCGGGAGAUGCAGUGACUUCACCAGCGAAAACACAGGAGGAGGCAUGCAGAGAACAAAACCAUAUUCUUCAGAGGAAAAGAAGAAGGAGGAGAAGGAGAGCAACAAAUAACCCCCAAACAAUAAAAUAAAUUCCUUUUAUA